rnacentral:rRNA from 1 species
UACGAAGGGGGCUAGCGUUGCUCGGAAUCACUGGGCGUAAAGCGCACGUAGGCGGAUUUCUAAGUCAGGGGUGAAAUCCUGGAGCUCAACUCCAGAACUGCCUUUGAUACUGGGAAUCUCGAGUCCGGGAGAGGUGAGUGGAACUGCGAGUGUAGAGGUGAAAUUCGUAGAUAUUCGCAAGAACACCAGUGGCGAAGGCGGCCCACUGGCCCGGUACUGACGCUGAGGUGCGAAAGCGUGGGGAGCAAACAGG